UUCUCCUUCUGUUUCUUCCUCUGCUCGCAGUUCCUCUCUUCUUUCUCUCAGCUUCACUUCCUUUCUUCUUCUUCUUCUUAUUCUGCUGCUUCGUGCUAUUCUUCUGUAUCUGUUUCUCUGGUUUCACUUCUUAUCAGGAUCAGAAGCGGUUUUCCGGCGAGAUUUGCACGGAAAGUUUGAGGAUUACGAGUUUCUCAGGGGGUCUUAAGUACUGUAGCGAAUUUGAUUGAUUUGGAGGAGAAGGAAGUGAAGAAAGAGGAAUUUUUCUGGUGGUGGUGUUUAUUGGAAGCUUGGAAAAUUUUUAUGACUAUUUUGUUUAGCUAUGGUCGUGAAGGAAG
rnacentral:misc_RNA from 1 species